ensembl:lncRNA
GUUGUUUUUCAUGUCUGCAGGUUGAAGCAACUUCAUUAACGUGAUAUUUAGCCCCUGGAAUGCUAAUGUUACCAGAGGAUCCCUGUCGAUAAACGUGAAUUUUACCUCCUGGAAUGCAAUUUUUACCGGGGAACUCACCUCAACACGUGAUUGGGUUGGUUUACAGUAGCAAUUGGGUGGGUUUUGUUUGCGAAAAACUGGCAACCUUGGCCCAUAAGAGGUAGGUUAAGUAGGCUUAGUGUAAGUGGUAGGUUAACUAUAGAUUUGAGCUCAUGUUUAUGAAAAUAUGGGCUUUUAAUGUCAUCUUUUGUGUAGAUAAGCUUUUUUUUAUAUAAAGGUUUUCUAUUGCUGGCCGUUUGUGCAUGUAUGAGUGGAAGUAAGCUGAUUAGAUAAACUAUAAUGUUAAAAGUAUGCACUGUGUAGUUAAUUAGAUACGUCAUUUAUAUAGAGUGUGAAAAUGGACAGAAACUUAAAACAGGUUUUGAUGUUUCAUGGUAAGAAAAGUAGUAAUCUUUUCAAAUGGUGGAUUGUAUUGUAUACCCAGAAUGCAAUGCACAAUGAUGUAGAUUCCCACUUUUAUAUACCCAAGGUACUCAACUCAACUUUAUUUAUAAAGCACUUUCAACAUCACGACUGGACCCAAAGUGCUGUACAGAGAAAGAUAAAAGAAAACAGGGUUAGGUGGGAACUUCCUGGUGGGAACUUCUUGCAUUACAGUCUCCCCUUGAGCGGGGCUCCAGUGCGGGAACCAGGGUGGAGUCAUCAAGGAUCCAGCUUAUUAUUGGCACAUUGGUAAGAAAUUGUUCAUCUGCUGCAUUGCACUGUCACUUCUGGUAGAAAUUCAUUGACCUUUUGUGAUAGGUUGUGAUUUUACUUAGUUUAAUAAAAAUGUACUUAAUUAGAUUUUUUUUUUUUUUACUAAAAUAAAUACAUAAAUACACUGUAUAGCUAGGUUUCUGCUUAAAACAGUGUAACUGGGGGCUCUGAAAAAACUGCUUGUGGAUAAUUUGUUAAUAUUGUAAACUUUCAUCUGAAUACAUUAAAUAAGUGUUUAAUGAAUAGUGUUGUGCACUUUGUUUCCAACCCCACUGUUAUUGAACUGUAAAUUGAAAAUAUUGUGUGAUUUGUUUUGCAUUCAGUUUUCAGUUAAAAUAUUUCACACCAUCAAAGUUGAUAUUUUAUGAGGAUUUAUUUUUGGGGUUUCUGUUUAUACAGGACAGUACAGAAAGCGCACAAGUGGGAGAGAGUGGAGGGGACGGCAUCAGAAAGGACCUAGAGCUGGGACACUUUCAAGGAUCACCCAAAGCACAACCACACUAUAUGCACGAGGCUGUUGGUUCUAACAUUUUAGGGUCCCCCUCGGUAGAAAUCACAUUCCGCGUUCCCCAUAGUUUUUAUGAGUUUACAUGAAAAUCCUGUUGUUUCAACUGGAAAGAAAUCCCUCCGAUUGCAGAAUCCGAACAUAGUGUUUACAUGAAUGCUAAAUAGAGAGGAAGCAAGAACAAUGGAUAACAUUCCUCAAAUAAUGGGACUUCUAGACGGGACACAUAUUCCCCUCCUUCCUCCUUCAGAUGGGAACAAAGAGUUCGUAAACAGGAAAGGCUGGCCUUCUUACAUUCUACAAGCUGUUGUGGAUCACAGAUCAUGGUGAGAUGAUUCAAGGGAAUGCAGCAAAACAUCUAACUGGCCUGACCAGCAAUGUUAAGCCCUACAGUAGCUACAGGAAAUCUUAACAUGUUUUUGUGUUUUCUUUUGUUUUUCAUACAUGCACUGUUGUAUUAAAUAAUUCAACGAGUAAUGUUCAAUCUUCUGUCCAAUCCCCACACAUUCUGAAUGAAAUCUGAAUGAAACAUGAACUGGAAAUUCCUUUUGAUGAUCUGCUUGUAGAGUCCUUACAGUGAAGACAUGACAAGGCCGUCAAAAAGAGGAAUAAUAUGGAGCGAAGAGACAGGAGACGACAGAGACCAAGAGAAGAAGGAACUCCUCUUCACUGCUAAAGAUCUGACUCGGUUAAUUCGUCAACAUGAGCAUAUAAACAAGAGAUGAAUGAAACGGGUGAAACAAUUAAUUGAAAUGAAUGAUUUUGACAUGGAAAUGAGAUCUUUGUCAAGCGAGGUUAACAUUUUGAGACUCCAAAAAGUCAGCACCGUUUCCAAAGAAUAGAAACAUAAGGAGGGGGCCUCUGUAGGCAGUUAACUGACAUCCUGUCCGACAACAUCCUGUCAGAGCGACACUGGCUUCCUGUGUUUGUGCUUACAUAAACAUAAUAAUGACAACCUCCUCAUAUAGUUUGGAGGCUGUGUUUGUGUGUGUGUGUGUGUGUGGGUGUAAUAGCUCUGCUUAGCUGAUGUAACUAUGGCAACACAAGACCCACUGCAGAGGAAAAGGGUGUCUUAAUUUUCAGCUUAACUUUUGUGUGCCCAAGAAGGGAAUACUUUGCUGAAUAUUUUGUUGAGGAGAAAUAUUAUAUCUGCCUCCUCCAUAUAUAAUGGAAUGCUUUCAACUGAAAAAAGAAUUGUGCCUCAUCUCGCUGUUAUUUUUGAUUAUGAGUUUUUGUUUUUACUAAAGCGAAACCAUUUCAUAUGUUGAUGUGUUUAAACUAGAGAUGCAUCGAUUAACCAGCAAGUGAUCGGAAUCUGACUAAUUUUUUGCAUGACUGGCCCGAAUCAAUGACGUCACAGCCACGUGCACACUUUACAGUCACUUGUAAACAUGUUGUUUCGCGUUAGAAUGAUUCUAAUUUUAAUUGCAUUCAGUGUAAACGACGACUGAUAAUGUAUUUAUGUUGUGCCAGAUGAGGCUUGCACAGCCUGAGUGAGUGUGUGAGACAGCACACACAAAGUAACUCACAGGAAUUUAUAGAUGCAUACUGCGGUAGAUAAAAAAAAGAUAUUUACAAAAUAUGAUUUAGGUAAGCAAUCCCAGCCGGCACAUGAUCGACCUACAACGUUGAAAUAUGGUUGAAAUAAGGUCAGUUGUUAUUUUAACGUUGAAUCAAUGUUGAUACAACCCACCCAGCACCAGACGUCAUCUGGGCAUUGUUUUUUGGGCUAAAUCAAGUCGGCCCAUCAUGGCCUUCUUUUAGACCAAAUAUCAGCGUUGAAAAUUGGUCUUUGUUUGGUCCAUCUGAUUGAGUCCAAAUUUAGCCCAAAAAUAGAUGUUGAAAACUGGGCUUUUGGUCCAUCUCAUUUAGUCCAAAUUUAGAAGCACGUUUAUUUCAGACCACAUAUAUAGCCAUUAACAUAAAUGUAGCUAUAAGAAAUAGAUUAGACAUAUGACAUAUCUGAAGAAUUUAAAUAUAUGAAAAUAUAUUUUAAAAAUACAUCAAACAUUAAAGCUUAAAAAUUGUUCCUCAUGAUACAUGUGUAAGUACGAAUAUUCAUGCAUUUUUAAUAAAAGUUUUUUUUUUUCAGUGUUAUUUCUACACCACGUUUACCAUUUCUAAAAAUUAUAUUAUAUUACAUUAUAUUAUAUUAACGUAAAUUCUGCGUAACUUCUACGUGCUUUACUGGGCGCGCGCGCUGAACUGGAGCGGAGGAAGUCACAAUGGAAACGGGGCGGCAGCUCAACUGUCAAGCUGCUAAACGCUGUCUCUCACGGUUGUUUUCACUAAUUUCAGGGAGGUUUCAUCUCUAAAAUUACACAAAUAGUACAUAAAAGUGUUCCUGACACUUUUUUUCAUGUAAAUGACACGCUUCCGUUGGACACUUUAUAGAAAUGGUUUAGUGUCUUCAGAAAAAGUCAAUUGGCAUCUCAACCGUAAGGCUAACUAUAAGAGGUAACUUGAGCUCUUCUUUAUGAAAGUUUGGGUUUUAAAUGUCAUCUUAUGUGUAGCGCUUUAUAUAUAAAGAGGGAGAGAGAUUUUGCUUUCAAUUUGUCAACGGUUGAAUGAAAGUAAGCUAAUUAAUUUAACCUAAAAGUAUGCACUGUACAGU